rnacentral:tRNA from 1 species
GACGGCGUAGCUCAGUUGGAAGAGCAUUGGGCUGGUAUUCCAAAGGUCGUAGGUUCGAAUCCCACCGUGGCCG